AUUGAACGCUGGCGGCAUGCCUAAUACAUGCAAGUCGAACGGCAGCACGGGUAGCUUCAUCUGCUGGCGAUAGCCGAGCGGGGGUGAAUAACACGGGGACAAGCUCUGUAUAGGGGGAGAGCACGGCGAAAGCCGGGGUACUACUGCAGACGAUUAUCUUAAGAAACAGGGUGACCUACUGACCGAGGGUUUUGCUGUCACUUGUAGAUGGAUCCGCGCCUGGUUAGCUAGUUGGUAUGGUAAAGGCUUACCAAGGCAACGAUCCGUAGCUGGCCUGAGAGGACGACCAGCCACACUGGAACUGAGACACGGCCCAGACUCCUACGGGAGGCAGCAGUGGGGAAUUUUCGACAAUGGGCGAAAGCCUGAUCCAGCAACGCCGCGUGUGUGAAGAAGGCCUUCGGGUUGUAAAGCACUUUUGUUAGGAAAGAAAACCUUUGCAAUAAUCUAGUCAGGGCAUGACGGUACCGAAAGAGUAAGCCCCGGCUAACUACGUG
rnacentral:rRNA from 1 species